CAGGCUUAACACAUGCAAGUCGAGGGGCAGCAUGGUCUUAGCUUGCUAAGGCCGAUGGCGACCGGCGCACGGGUGAGUAACACGUAUCCAACCUGCCGUCUACUCUUGGACAGCCUUCUGAAAGGAAGAUUAAUACAAGAUGGCAUCAUGAGUCCGCAUGUUCACAUGAUUAAAGGUAUUCCGGUAGACGAUGGGGAUGCGUUCCAUUAGAUAGUAGGCGGGGUAACGGCCCACCUAGUCUUCGAUGGAUAGGGGUUCUGAGAGGAAGGUCCCCCACAUUGGAACUGAGACACGGUCCAAACUCCUACGGGAGGCAGCAGUGAGGAAUAUUGGUCAAUGGGCGAGAGCCUGAACCAGCCAAGUAGCGUGAAGGAUGACUGCCCUAUGGGUUGUAAACUUCUUUUAUAAAGGAAUAAAGUCGGGUAUGGAUACCCGUUUGCAUGUACUUUAUGAAUAAGGAUCGGCUAACUCCGUGCCAGCAGCCGCGGUAAUACGGAGGAUCCGAGUGUUAUCCGGAUUUAUUGGGUUUAAAGGGAGCGUAGAUGGAUGUUUAAGUCAGUUGUGAAAGUUUGCGGCUCAACCGUAAAAUUGCAGUUGAUACUGGAUAUCUUGAGUGCAGUUGAGGCAGGCGGAAUUCGUGGUGUAGCGGUGAAAUGCUUAGAUAUCACGAAGAACUCCGAUUGCGAAGGCAGCCUGCUAAGCUGCAACUGACAUUGAGGCUCGAAAGUGUGGGUAUCAAACAGGAUUAGAUACCCUGGUAGUCCACACGGUAAACGAUGAAUACUCGCUGUUUGCGAUAUACAGCAAGCGGCCAAGCGAAAGCGUUAAGUAUUCCACCUGGGGAGUACGCCGGCAACGGUGAAACUCAAAGGAAUUGACGGGGGCCCGCACAAGCGGAGGAACAUGUGGUUUAAUUCGAUGAUACGCGAGGAACCUUACCCGGGCUUAAAUUGCAGAUGAAUUACGGUGAAAGCCGUAAGCCGCAAGGCAUCUGUGAAGGUGCUGCAUGGUUGUCGUCAGCUCGUGCCGUGAGGUGUCGGCUUAAGUGCCAUAACGAGCGCAACCCUUGUUGUCAGUUACUAACAGGUUCCGCUGAGGACUCUGACAAGACUGCCAUCGUAAGAUGUGAGGAAGGUGGGGAUGACGUCAAAUCAGCACGGCCCUUACGUCCGGGGCUACACACGUGUUACAAUGGGGGGUACAGAGGGCCGCAACCACGCGAGUGGAUGCCAAUCUCCAAAACCUCUCUCAGUUCGGACUGGAGUCUGCAACCCGACUCCACGAAGCUGGAUUCGCUAGUAAUCGCGCAUCAGCCACGGCGCGGUGAAUACGUUCCCGGGCCUUGUACACACCGCCCGUCAAGCCAUGGGAGCCGGGGGUACCUGAAGUGCGUAACCGCGAGGAGCGCCCUAGGGUAAAACUGGUGACUGGGGC
rnacentral:rRNA from 1 species